AUUGGACUGAUGACAAAGACAACAGAGAAAUGAAGCAGUAAAGAUCAGAGACAGACUAGCAGGGUUUUAGUCACAAAGACAGACAUGCAACAAAACAGAGCUUUUUGGACUGAGCACAGGAAGGAGCAACAUUAUUUGUGUGUUCUUUUCUUCCUUGGAAAUCAUGCAGGUAAAACAUGUCAGAGGUGGAGUAAGAAGCAGGAAAAAAGCACUUUCCUUUAUCAUGGGAGGUUUGGGCCCAUCAAGCCUGCUGUGAGUCCAACUCUCAUGUAGAAGAUUCAGUAGAUGGUUUAAAAACAGGAGGGAUGCUUCAGAAGGAAGAUCCAGAUUGUGAGACAGUGGUUGGUUGAAGAGGCUUCAGUGACUAAAAUCAAACACACACACACACACGUUGGAGUCCGGUGUGUCCACACUCUUCAUCUCACCUGAGAUAUGAAUCUUCAAAUAACAAAGAAAAUCUGAAUGACAGACUCAGAAAGACUCACUGCAACAUUUUGAUUAUUUAUCAUCACUGUAAAUUUUACUGUUUCACUCUCCUCCAUGUUGGAGCAUCAAAAUGAACCAUAGGCCCCGCCCACCAAAGUCCAGCUAAACCAAUGAGAUGAUUUCUGUCUGUAGAGCAAAAAGUUUGAGGAAAUAAAAUCACAACCUGAUGAAUCUGCUAUUGUUCAUGUGCUGUCUGUCUGGCUUUAAUAACUCCAAAGACAUGUUGCUGCACCUCUUUUUGCUUCUAUCUCACAUUAUAGGACUCACAGCUGGAGACUCAAUCACUCCUCAACAAACUGAAGUCACUGAAACAGAAGGAAAAUCUGUCAAACUCACAUGUAGCUAUGAGACAGAUGCAGGUGGUGCUUUACUUCACUGGUACAGACAUCAUUCUGACCUUCAGGCUCCUCAGUUUAUACUCUGGAAACAAGGAAAAGGAGGGACAGCUGAAUAUAUUCCUGAUAAUCAAUAUGAAUCAGAAACAUCUUCUACAUCAACUACUCUGACCAUAACAGCCCUAACCCUGGCAGACACAGCUCUCUACUACUGUGCUCUAGAAACACAGUGAUACAAAGUGUAGAAGAGGCUGUACAAAAACCUGAACACAGAUAUCUGACUACUCUUCAAAGAGGAGGGA